UGAGUGGCGGACGGGUGAGUAACGCGUGGGCAACCUGGCCUGUACAGGGGGAUAACACUUAGAAAUAGGUGCUAAUACCGCAUAACGGGAGAAGCCGCAUGGCUUUUUCCUGAAAACUCCGGUGGUACAGGAUGGGCCCGCGUCUGAUUAGCCAGUUGGCAGGGUAACGGCCUACCAAAGCGACGAUCAGUAGCCGGCCUGAGAGGGUGAACGGCCACAUUGGGACUGAGACACGGCCCAAACUCCUACGGAAGGCAGCAG
rnacentral:rRNA from 1 species